CUAGGCUGAUCUUAGCAUCUAUGUUUAGAGCCUAGGCUAGAUAUAUAGUUCUCAUAUGUAUUUUGCUUUUAUCAUGUAUCUUUAAACUUUGAUUCAGGAACAUUGUAUCUGUUUUUGUUUUUGGCAUGAAUGUAUGAAAAUGUUCCCGUUUUGAUCAAUGAAGUUUGAAGUUUGGUAUUUAUUGCAUCUUUUCCAUGUAUCUUUUUGAUGAUAACAAAAAGGGGGAGAAGUAAAGAAAGAGUAUUUAUUUUAGGAGAAGUAAAGAUCUCAGGGAAGAAGUAAAGAUAUUGUUUAGAGUAAAUAAAGUAACAAAAAGGGGAGAACUAAAGAUAUCUUUAGAGUAAGUAAAGAAAGAAUAAUAAGAGCAAAAGUAAAGAAAGUUAAAGAAAGGAGAAGUAAAGAAAAAGAAAUAAGAAGUUAUGUAAAGAAAGAGAAAUAAGAACUUAUGCAAGAAAAGAGAAAUAAUUGGGCAAACAAAUUGAAAAUCAUAUAAGAAAGCUUAUACAUCUAAGGGGGAGCAAUUUGUAACAAUGAAAAUCAUCAAAUCAAAAAUUUCUAUCAAGUUUCAGAAUUUGGCACAUAUAAUUUCAGAAUUUGGCACGCACCUCUUGCACCCCGAUACAUAAUCUGAAACUCAUAUUUUAUCUCAAAUUUUUGAAGUUUCAUCGUUAAUGAAUUAUAAAUGAAAGGGGGAGCAAUUCAAAAAGUCAAAUUGGCAACAUUUAAAUGAAAUAGGGGGGGAUUUCACUCUUAUAUAUGAAAAGCUGAAAUUCAGCAAGUUAAGCCCUUUCAAAAACUGAUCUUAAAGACAAGUAUCAAU
rnacentral:lncRNA from 1 species